ensembl:lncRNA
GGUAGAAUUGCAAAUUCUAGUUAUAUAGAAAACGUAUGGGACCAAAUCAUAAUGAAGUAUAUAUCUACUGCUUAUACUGUGGGGCAGUCCCAUCAGCUAGAGAGUCACUCAUCUAAUGAAUAAAUGAAAUGGAGCUCUAAUGUAUGUCUGAUGCUAUUCUGGGCUCUGGGAAAACAAUGAGCAAGACAGGUAUUCUCCACUUCCAAGGAGUUUAUGUUGAGACAAAAUGUAAGUGCUGUGAAGAAAAAACAUGAUGUAAGGGCGUAAAGUAGGAAGUCAAGAAACACCUGGAGUAACAGGCAAAUUUGGCCUUGGAAUACAGAAUGAAGCAGGGCAAAAGAGUUUUGCCAAGAAAUGCACUGGUCAUAACAAACACCCUCUUCCAACAACACAAGCGAAGACUCUACACAUGGACAUUACCAGAUGGUCAACACCGAAAUCAGAUUGAUUAUAUUCUUUGCAGCCAAAGAUGGAGAAGCUCUAUACAGUCAGCAAAAACAAGACCAGGAGCUGACUGUGGCUCAGACCAUGAACUCCUAAUUGCCAAAUUCAGACUGAAAUUGAAGAAAGUAGGGAAAACCACUAGACCAUUCAGGUAUGACCUAAAUCAAUUAGACAGUGAAAGUGAGAAAUAGAUUUAAGGGCCUAGAUCUGAUAGACAGAGUGCCUGAUGAACUAUGGGAUGAGGUUUGUGACAUUGUACAGGAAACAGGGAUCAAGACCAUUCCCAUGGAAAAGAAAUGCCAAAAGGCAAAAUGGCUGUCUGGGGAGGCCUUACAAAUAGCUGUGAAAAGAAGAGAAGUGAAAAGCAAAGGAGAAAAGGAAAGAUGUAAACAUCUGAACGCAGAGUUCCAAAGAAUAGCAAGAAGAGAUAAGAAAGCCUUCUUCAGCGAUCAAUGCAAAGAAAUAGAGGAAAACAACAGAAUGGGAAAGACUAGGGAUCUCUUCAAGAAAAUAAGAGAUACCAAAGGAACAUUUCAUGCAAAGAUGAGCUCGAUAAAGGACAGAAAUGGUAUGGACCUAACAGAAGCAGAAGAUAUCAAGAAGAGGUGGCAAGAAUACACAGAAGAAC